rnacentral:rRNA from 1 species
UACGAAGGGGGCUAGCGUUGUUCGGAAUUACUGGGCGUAAAGCGCACGUAGGCGGAUUUGUAAGUCAGGGGUGAAAUCCCGGGGCUCAACCUCGGAACUGCCUUUGAUACUGCAAGUCUCGAGUCCGGAAGAGGUGAGUGGAAUUCCUAGUGUAGAGGUGAAAUUCGUAGAUAUUAGGAAGAACACCAGUGGCGAAGGCGGCUCACUGGUCCGGUACUGACGCUGAGAGACGAAAGCUAGGGGAGCAAAUGGG